rnacentral:rRNA from 1 species
AGGGUUUGAUCAUGGCUCAGAUUGAACGCUGGCGGUAUGCUUAACACAUGCAAGUCGAACGAUAACAGUGAACUUCGGUUCAGCUGAUAAGUGGCGGACGGGUGAGUAAUACAUGGGAAUCUAUCCUUAAGCGGGGGACAACCUGGGGAAACUCAGGCUAAUACCGCAUGUGGCCUACGGGUUAAAGCAGGGGACUAUUUAUAGCCUUGCACUUAGGGGUGAGCCCAUGUCAGAUUAGCUAGUUGGUGGGGUAAAGGCCUACCAAGGCGACGAUCUGUAGUUGGUCUGAGAGGAUGAACAGCCACACUGGGACUGAGACACGGCCCAGACUCCUACGGGAGGCAGCAGUGGGGAAUAUUGGACAAUGGGCGCAAGCCUGAUCCAGCAAUACCGCGUGUGUGAAGAAGGCCUUUGGGUUGUAAAGCACUUUCAGUUGGGAAGAAGUUGUGUAUGUUAAUACCAUGUACAAUUGACGUAACCAACAGAAGAAGCACCGGCUAACUCUGUGCCAGCAGCCGCGGUAAUACAGAGGGUGCGAGCGUUAAUCGGAAUCACUGGGCGUAAAGAGUAUGUAGGUGGAAUGGUAAGUUAGGUGUGAAAUCCCUGAGCUCAACUCAGGAAUUGCGCUUAAAACUGCCAGUUCUAGAGUACUGUAGGGGGGAGCAGAAUUUCUGGUGUAGCGGUGAAAUGCGUAGAUAUCAGAAGGAAUACCAGUGGCGAAGGCGGCUCUCUGGACAGAUACUGACACUGAGAUACGAAGGCGUGGGUAGCAAACAGGAUUAGAUACCCUGGUAGUCCACGCAGUAAACGAUGAAAACUAGCUGUUGGGAUUUAUCUUAGUAGCGAAGCUAACGCGAUAAGUUUUCCGCCUGGGGAGUACGGCCGCAAGGUUAAAACUCAAAGGAAUUGACGGGGACCCGCACAAGCGGUGGAGCAUGUGGUUUAAUUCGAUGCAACGCGAAAAACCUUACCUACCCUUAACAUUUCCGGAAUUUAAUAGAGAUAUUGAAGUGCCUUCGGGAGCCGGAGGAUAGGUGCUGCAUGGCUGUCGUCAGCUCGUGUCGUGAGAUGUUGGGUUAAGUCCCGCAACGAGCGCAACCCUUGUCCUUAGUUGCUAACAGGUAAUGCUGAGAACUUUAAGGAGACUGCCGUUGAUAAAACGGAGGAAGGUAAGGAUGAUGUCAAGUCAUCAUGGCCCUUAUGGGUAGGGCUACACACGUGCUACAAUGGGCGGUACAAAGGGCAGCGAAGCCGCGAGGUGGAGCAAAUCUCAUAAAGCCGCUCUCAGUCCGGAUUGGAGUCUGCAACUCGACUCCAUGAAGUUGGAAUCGCUAGUAAUCGUAGAUCAGCAUGCUACGGUGAAUACGUUCUCGGGUCUUGUACACACCGCCCGUCACAUCAUGGGAGUAAAUUGCACCAGAAGUGGGUAGUCUAACCUUCGGGAGGGCGCUCACCACGGUGUGGUCCAUGACUGGGGUGAAGUCAUAACAAGGUAGCCGUA